UCGAGGAUCUUUGGCAAUGGACGCAAGUCUGACCAAGCGACGCCGCGUGUGCGAUGAAGGCCUUCGGGUUGUAAAGCACUGUCGAGGGGGAGAAAGCCGAAAGGUUGAUCUAUCCCUGGAGGAAGCACGGGCUAAGUUCGUGCCAGCAGCCGCGGUAAGACGAACCGUGCGAACGUUGUUCGGAAUCACUGGGCUUAAAGGGCGCGUAGGCGGGCGAUCAAGUCCGGGGUGAAAGCCUCCAGCUUAACUGGAGAAGUGCCUCGGAUACUGAUUGUCUUGAGGAGGGUAGGGGCAUCUGGAACUAGCGGUGGAGCGGUGAAAUGCGUUGAUAUCGCUAGGAACUCCGGUGGCGAAGGCGAGGUGCUGGACCCUUUCUGACGCUGAGGCGCGAAAGCCAGGGGAGCGAACGGGAUUAGAUACCCCCGUAGUCC
rnacentral:rRNA from 1 species